GCCAACUUAGCUCAGCGGUAGAGCAGCUGAUUUGUAAUCAGCCGGUCUGCGGUUCAAUCCCGCAAGUUGGCU
rnacentral:tRNA from 1 species